AUUGAACGCUAGCGGGAUGCUUUACACAUGCAAGUCGAACGAGUGGCGGACGGGUGAGUAAUAUAUCGGAAAGUGCCCCGGAGCGGGGGCUAACUACUCGAAAGAGUGGCUAAUAACGCAUACAAUUGGAGCGGCCGAUAUCGGUUGAGAGAGUUGGUGGGGUAACAGCUCACCAAGGCAACGAUCCGUAGAUGGUUUGAGAGGACGACCAGCCACACUGAGACUGAGACACGGCCCAGGCUCCUGCGUGAGGCAGCAUGGGGGAAUUUUGUACUAUGGGGGGAACCCAGAUCCAGCCGUCCCGCGUGUAUUAGAUGGCCUUCGGGUUUUAAAGUACUUUUGGCCGUGAAGCGGUCUCUGCAGAAUAGGCACCGGCUAACUACGUGCGAGCAGCCGCGGUAAAAC
rnacentral:rRNA from 1 species